GCUUUUUGCCAUCAUCAUUGUAGUUGUUCGUGUGCAUCGCUCUCGCGUGCAUUUUAAUAUGUGAUAAGAAGGGAAGCGGGUGCGGACUGGAGAGACAGGCUAUAGGAACUACAUAUGUACAUAUUUGUGUGUGGGCUUUAACUAAAAUUGUAAUUUUGACAAGACUUGACCAGAAUGACCCAAACACAGCGCAAUAGGCCACCCGUUCGGUGGCCGUUCGAGUACGUUCUUAUAUUCCCUCCCACAUUCACUCAAUGGGCCAUCAGAAGUGAGCGACGGGUUUUAUGACUACUGGUUGAUGGGGAAGCAGUGGAACGUUGGGUAAGUGCUUUACACAUUAUUUAUAGCGCAAUUUUAUUGAUUUCGAUUAGAUCAUGAAUCGGCUGUGUGAGUCACUGCAUGACUAGCAUGUCUCGUUUAUUUGGCGAUUUGUUUGAAGUUAAGCUUUUACUUUUACUACAGACACAUGAACUUUGGUGUUG